CACUGUGAAUUUUAGAGGGGAUGAAGAACUAACAUGUUCCUGCCAUCUUACAGGGAGAUCGAGGGAAGGAUGGUUUGAAAGGUGAAAGAGGUCCUCCAGGCCCAAAGGGAGACCCUGGUCCACCAGGAAAAGGAGUGGAAAUGAAGGAUCUGGAGAGACUUUUUGAAGAAAAUGGUAUCAAGCUGGCAUUGUUGAAGGACCUCUCCAACGCAAUCCUGCAGGAGGGGCUGGAUUGGCUGAUGCAGCACUUGGGUAGCUCCAAGACCUCCAGGAGAAAGCAGGCACUUCCAUACACACCCAAACAUGACGGUUCAUUGACAGUUGAUACUUCUCAUGAUGUCCUGACCAGCACUGGGGUGACAGAAGAAGCACAGAGUCUGGCAGUGGACACUCCAUUUAGGGUGCUGGUGUCUGAAGGACUCCCUAAGGGUCCAUCUGCUGAUGGUUCUGACUCCGAGCACCAACUCCUGGGGAACACUCCUGAAUCAUUGGAGUCUGAGGAGAGAAGGAGAGAGGGAGACUCAAAAGUGACAAAUAUCUCUCUCAGCAGUAGCUUCUCUGUGCCCUCACCACAUCCAGAAGGUGAUCUGGAAGGAAACCUGUCCAUAGAGCUUCUUGAAUCCCUGGAGGAAAGAGUGGAAGGACAACCACAAGAGGACAACAGUCUUGAAAACAUGAGUUCAGAAGAUGGCUCUGCACUCCCAAGGCAUCCUAGAGCCAGGAGAUCAACCCAGCAUGACAGACACAUGGUAAAGCCCCAUUAUACCCCAAUGGCUUUGGGCUAGCAAUGUCUAAGAGCAGAGCCAUAAGGGAGUGGGG
rnacentral:lncRNA from 1 species